UUAGUGUCAAAAUACAAAUAUGAUUAUUUCAAAGACUUGUAAAAACUACUCACUCCAAUUUUUUUUGGUAAUGCAUUCAUAUCUUAAAGUGGUAUUAGUCAGUGGCUUGCCAAACAAAUAUUUUAAUAAGUUAUUAUAAUCCACUGGGCUUUUCUGGAUAGAUCUUCCAGUCCUGAAGAUUUUUCAGUUUUGUAGAAUUCCUACUGCAGUUUUUAUUUCUUGGAAAUGGACUUUCAAAGGCUUUAAUCAUAUUUUCUCUUUUCCUCUCCCGUUAAAUAUCUAAAAGCAGCUGGAAUGCAAAACAUUUGUAUCUGUCAGAUAGACAUGAGUGCAUUUUACCUGACAACCACGGAUUAUCUUAGAGUUUUAAACACUGUUACAGAGAAAAGAAAAUUUAUUUGCAUAGGUCACAUAAUAUUUAGAUCCUCUCCGUAGCACCUCCAUAGAUAGUAGAUCCUGCAGUACUUUAAGCAUUAGAGUUACACAUCAAAAUUAAGCUAGUUUCAAAUCUCAAAGGAAUUCAUAAGCUGAGAUUUAAGUCUCGGGUACCCCUCCCCUUACUUUCCACAUAGGUACUUAGUUCUCACACCUGCACUUACCAGCAUCCAGAAUAUAUUUCUUAAGGCCUACUCUUGUUAGGUACUCUAUGAAAAAGGGUUUUAGGCCAGGCACAGUGGCUCACACCUGUAAUCCCAGCACUUGGGAAGCCCAGGCGGGCGGAUCACUUGAGGUCAGGAAUUUGAGACUAGCCUCACUAACAUGGUGAAACCCCCAUCUACACUAAAAAUACAAAAAGUUAGACAGGCGUGGUGGUGGGUACCUGUAAUCCCAGCUACUCGGGAGGCUGAGGCAGGAUAAUUGCUUGAGCCUGGGAGGCAGAGGCUGCAGUGAGCCGAGAUUGCACCACUGCACUCCCUUCCAGGUGAAAGAAGAAGCCUCUGUCAAAAAAAAAAGGGGGGCGGGGAAUGGGCUUUGAUGGGCAAACAAAAUUAGAAAGUGGGGUGUCUCAGACAGUAUUCUCCAGGAUGCAGAUUCUGAGAUAUACUUUAAUUGCAGGAUAUUUAUUAAGAAGUGCCUUUUGCCAAACAUUUGUUCAAAGAGAGAGAGAAGCGGAAUUGGGAGAAAAUGAGUUAUAAUGUAGGUCCAAUGACAGCCUUGGCCAACCCCACAGGGAGCUCUGGAGUUAAAACGGCCCUCGGAGAUGUCCUCAGAUGGGCAAGAGAACAACUUUGUAUCUCCACACUGAUCAAUCCUUGGCUAUGGGCCACUCCACAAAAAAGUGUGACCUUAGGUGAAGUGGUUUUCUACAGCUAUGCCAAUUCCUGAAGAGGGCUGACAGCUGCAGGCUGCCUGCUAACAUCACACCCAGCAAGUGGGGAGCAAGCCGUUCUUUGAAGGGGGAUCUGGGCUGCACAUCAUACUACUGCCACAUGUAACACAUCAAAUCAUCUCUUUUGGAGAGUUGCACUAAACAUUCACAUACGAAUGGCUUUGAGAAUCUGGCACUGAAGCAAAUUUCUAAUUUAAUUUUUCUCCUGACAUCAGUUCAUAUCCUAUGGAACUAGUUUUCCACAGAACAUAAUUCGAUAAACGUCUCCCUAAUCUUACAGUGCCUUGCAGGCUGUUAAAAGAACUGCAUAUAGAUGGUUUGCUCUGGGCUUGCCUGCCCUUCAACAGGGUCUAUUGGUUCUGCCUGAGAACGUUGGUGUUGCUAUAUUAGUUAAGGACCUGCUAUACAAUGGCAUGUAUGUACUGUGAUGAAAUUAACCAUCACACCUUCAUAAGGGUCAGAUGAAUGAAUAUGUGAUGGAUAUACUGUGAUGAAUAUGUCAUGAAAUAGUGACAAUUCACUAAGGCCACCAAGAAUGAGCCUGUGAGAAGGUACCAGUAUCACUAAGUGCAGUAGUGGCUUUACUCUUUAGACCAGGGCUGAUGGUAAAUGAGGUGGUCACAGAGCUGGGAUUGUUAAUAUGAUUCAGGGGUAAUGGACCCUCAAGUAAUAGAGGGCUCUGGAGGACUAGUGCUUAAUUACCAAAAGUCAAGAGGCCAUAAUUACUAUAACAACUGGUGAAAUUGGAGGGGUAGUUAAGGGGGUUUGAUUCACAGGGUGUUUAGGAGAUAAUUAAUUGAAAGUAACACCCCUAUAGGCAAAAUAGAUGGGCAUCUAACAAGAAUGCUGCUUAACGCCUAUAACCAAAUAAGGCACGAAUGGAACCGCACUGGCUCCAAUGACACAUCACAAUCCCUUUCUCAGUUCCUAGACCUGAAGCACUUUUCAGGUAAGGAAGCCACAGAUGGAAGAACCCAUAGGUGGCUGGGUUACUAGGUCACAGGUCACUAGGAGGAAGAACCCUGCUAUACAUGUACAGACUUUGAUGAAAUGGCAAGUUCUUCCCCAAAUAGAUUUAUGACUAUAUGCUGGCAAGGAAGAAUAUCCAGACAUUUCCAGGUUUACUGGGCACAGAGCCUGAGUUGACAAUGAUACCUAGUAAUCUUCCUGGCAGCUAGGCCUGAAUAGAGCUGUGCAGCCCAAGGGGUGGACUGAGCCAGCAGUGGAUAUGCACCACUGAGAUCUCUUGCUGUGGAACGUAAUUGACUGGGGGGGUCCCCGCUACUGCUCUCUGAAUCCAUUGAUACAGUCAUGCCAAGGCUACAUUUCCCAUGGGUUGUUUCCAUAAGAAUAACAAUAACUGAAUGAAGAAGGUAUACUAAUAAUGCAGGCCUAUUCCUGUGAGGUAGGGGGCUCCUCCAAUGGGCGACUUUGGUUUGAGUGUUCUUCAUCAGCUGACCUUAAACUUUAUCGGAAUUGUGCUACAGCCUAAGCUUUCUGCUACUCAACCCGCCUUUCUUCCCUCUCUCCUUCUGUAUUAGUCAGGGUUCUCCAGAGAAACAGGAUCAAUAAAACCUAUGGCUCUAUCAAUCAAUUAAUAAGGAUUUAUAAUCAACCUAUAAGGAUUUAUCAAUAAAUAAACCCUUAUUUAUUAUAAGGAAUUGGCUUACACAAUAAUGGAGGCCGAGAAGGCCCCAAGUCUGCUGUCCGAAGGUCUGAGAACCAGGAGCACUGAUGGUGUCAGUCCCAGUUCAAGGGCAGGAGAAGAUGGGUGUCCCAGCGCCACAGUCAGGCAGAAAAUUCAAGCUUCCUCCACCUAUUUUAUUUGGGUCCUUAGAAGACUGGAUCAAGCCCAUCCACACUGGGGACUGCAAUCUGCUUUAUUCAGUCCAUCAAUUCAAAUGCGAAUUUCCUCCAGAAAAAGCUUCAUGAACACAACCAGAAAUAAUGUUCGAUCAUAUAUGGGGCAUCCUGUGGCCCAGCGAAGUUGACAUGCAUAAAAUUAACCAUCACACCUCCAUGGAGGCCAGAAAUUUUAUGUAUUCUGAGGACUCUGUCUCUCUGGCUUCCUCUCCAUUUCAACCCUCAGGCAUUCUUUUUUUCCCCAAAUAAAUGUCUUGUAAAUCUA
rnacentral:lncRNA from 10 species